AGAGUUUGAUCCUGGCUCAGGAUGAACGCUGGCGGCGUGCCUAAUACAUGCAAGUCGAGCGAAUGGAUUAAGAGCUUGCUCUUAUGAAGUUAGCGGCGGACGGGUGAGUAACACGUGGGUAACCUGCCCAUAAGACUGGGAUAACUCCGGGAAACCGGGGCUAAUACCGGAUAACAUUUUGAACCGCAUGGUUCGAAAUUGAAAGGCGGCUUCGGCUGUCACUUAUGGAUGGACCCGCGUCGCAUUAGCUAGUUGGUGAGGUAACGGCUCACCAAGGCAACGAUGCGUAGCCGACCUGAGAGGGUGAUCGGCCACACUGGGACUGAGACACGGCCCAGACUCCUACGGGAGGCAGCAGUAGGGAAUCUUCCGCAAUGGACGAAAGUCUGACGGAGCAACGCCGCGUGAGUGAUGAAGGCUUUCGGGUCGUUUAAGCUCUGUUGUUAGGGAAGAACAA
rnacentral:rRNA from 1 species